UACGUAGGGGGCAAGCGUUGUCCGGAAUUAUUGGGCGUAAAGCGCGUGUAGGCGGCUUUGCAAGUCGGAUGUGAAAGCCCACGGCUCAACCGUGGAAGUGCAUCCGAAACUGCAUGGCUUGAGUCUCGGAGAGGAAGGUGGAAUGCUUGGUGUAGAGGUGAAAUUCGUAGAUAUCAAGCAGAACACCUGCGGCGAAGGCGGCCUUCUGGACGAUGACUGACGCUGAGACGCGAAAGCGUGGGGAGCAAACAGG
rnacentral:rRNA from 1 species